rnacentral:rRNA from 1 species
AUUCCUACGGGAGGCAGCAGUGGGGAAUAUUGCACAAUGGAGGAAACUCUGAUGCAGCAACGCCGCGUGGAGGAUGACGCAUUUCGGUGUGUAAACUCCUUUUAUAGGGGAAGAUAAUGACGGUACCCUAUGAAUAAGCACCGGCUAACUCCGUGCCAGCAGCCGCGGUAAUACGGAGGGUGCAGGCGUUACUCGGAAUCACUGGGCGUAAAGGAUGCGUAGGCUGGAAAUCAAGUCGAAAGUGAAAUCCAACGGCUCAACCGUUGAACUGCUUUCGAAACUGGUUACCUAGAAUAUGGGAGAGGUAGAUGGAAUUAGUGGUGUAGGGGUAAAAUCCGUAGAUAUCACUAGGAAUACCGAUUGCGAAGGCGAUCUACUGGAACAUUAUUGACGCUGAGGCAUGAAAGCGUGGGGAGCAAACAGGAUUAGAUACCCUGGUAGUCCACGCCCUAAACGAUGCACACUAGUUGUUGCGAUGCUAGUCAUUGCAGUAAUGCACUUAACAGAUUAAGUGUGCCGCCUGGGGAGUACGGUCGCAAGAUUAAAACUCAAAGGAAUAGACGGGGACCCGCACAAGCGGUGGAGCAUGUGGUUUAAUUCGAAGAUACACGAAGAACCUUACCUGGGCUUGAUAUCCUAAGAAUCCUGUAGAGAUACGGGAGUGCUAGUUUACUAGAACUUAGAGACAGGUACUGCACGGCUGUCGUCAGCUCGUGUCGUGAGAUGUUGGGUUAAGUCCCGCAACGAGCGCAACCCUCGUGAUUAGUUGCUAACAGUUCGGCUGAGCACUCUAAUCAGACUGCCUUCGUAAGGAGGAGGAAGGUGAGGACGACGUCAAGUCAUCAUGGCCCUUAUGCCCAGGGCUACACACGUGCUACAAUGGCUAGGACAAAGAGACGCGAUACUGCGAAGUGGAGCAAAUCUUAAAACCUAGUCUCAGUUCGGAUUGGAGUCUGCAACUCGACUCCAUGAAGCUGGAAUCGCUAGUAAUCGUAGAUCAGAUAUGCUACGGUGAAUACGUUCCCGGGCCUUGUACACACCGCC